CAUAAAAGGCUAUGAGGAUGCUCAGUCCAUAAAAGGCUAUGAGGAUGCUCAGUCCAUAAAAGGAUAUGAGGGUGCUCAGGACAUCCCCCCCACCUCGCAGGCCUCUCCUGACAACAGUUCCUGGGAAAAUGGCAUGGAAGGCCAGAGAAUCCACAGUUUUGGGCUACACCCAUCCAGUGAGGAAUCGGUCCCAGCUGUUCUAACUAGGACACUGUGUCCCUCAUCGCUGCCAUCAUCAUCAUCAUCGGCCUCCUGGGAGUCGGUGUCUGGAAGCUCCGAUCCGGGAAGAGGGAGGGGAAUGGAUACGACCCCGCGCCCACCACAGGAAUCACGGCCUGAGCAAUCCCGGAGCUGGAUCCGCCCCUUCCCUCUCCCUGCGGAAAGGCAGGAGCUGCUGGCAGAGCUCAUCCCGCUGCUCCCACCCACCCCGGCCCCCCGGGGCUCUUCCCAAUGGAUCAACUUCUUACUUUUUCCCGUGUGAAACCCAGGACCGCAAUUAUUCCGGAGGCUUUAAUUUGGGUGUGAAAAUCUCCUGCUUUGGGCAAUAAAUCCUGGCUCCCUCCUCCGGCAUCCGGCAGUUCCUCUGUGGGA